rnacentral:rRNA from 1 species
GACGAACGCUGGCGGCGUGCUUAACACAUGCAAGUCGAACGGAAAGGCCCUGCUUUUGUGGGGUGCUCGAGUGGCGAACGGGUGAGUAACACGUGAGUAACCUGCCCUUGACUUUGGGAUAACUUCAGGAAACUGGGGCUAAUACCGGAUAGGAGCUCCUGCUGCAUGGUGGGGGUUGGAAAGUUUCGGCGGUUGGGGAUGGACUCGCGGCUUAUCAGCUUGUUGGUGGGGUAGUGGCUUACCCAGGCUUUGACGGGUAGCCGGCCUGAGAGGGUGACCGGCCACAUUGGGACUGAGAUACGGCCCAGACUCCUACGGGGGGCAGCAGUGGGGAAUAUUGCACAAUGGGCGGAAGCCUGAGGCAGCAACGCCGCGUGCGGGAUGACGGCCUUCGGGUUGUAAACCGCUUUCGCCUGUGACGAAGCGUGAGUGACGGUAAUGGGUAAAGAAGCACCGGCUAACUACGUG